GUCCACGCCGUAAACGAUGGGUACUAGGUGUCUGGGGGAGCGACCCCCUGGGUGCCGGCGCUAACGCAUGAAGUACCCCGCCUGGGGAGUACGGCCGCAAGGCUGAAACUCAAAGGAAUUGACGGGGGCCCCGCACAAGCGGUGGAGCAUGUGGUUUAAUUCGACGCAACGCGAAGAACCUUACCUAGGCUUGACAUGCUGGAGAAAGCUUGCGGAAACGUGAGCCCCUCUUCGGAGUUCCAGCACAGAUGCUGCAUGGCUGUCGU
rnacentral:rRNA from 1 species